rnacentral:rRNA from 1 species
AUACGUAGGGAGCGAGCGUUGUCUGGAAUUACUGGGUGUAAAGGGAGCGUAGGCGGGACUGCAAGUCAGAUGUGAAAUACCGGGGCUUAACCCCGGAGCUGCAUUUGAAACUGUGGUUCUUGAGUGAAGUAGAGGCAAGCGGAAUUCCUGGUGUAGCGGUGAAAUGCGUAGAUAUCAGGAGGAACACCGGUGGCGAAGGCGGCUUGCUGGGCUUUUACUGACGCUGAGGCUCGAAAGCGUGGGUAGCAAACAGGAUUAGAUACCCUGGUAGUCCACGCUGUAAACGAUGAUUACUAGGUGUGGGGGGACUGACCCCUUCCGUGCCGCAGUUAACACAAUAAGUAAUCCACCUGGGGAGUACGGCCGCAAGGUUGAAACUCAAAUGAAUUGGCGGGG